GGUUUUUAGAUUAUAAUUUAAAAUUGAGCCUGCCCACUGUAUAAAUAAAGGGCCGCAGUAUUUUGACUGUGCUAAGGUAGCAUAAUCAUUAGUUUUUUAAUUGAAAGCUGGAAUGAAAGGUGUGAUGAAAAAUUAUCUGUCUCAAUUUAAUUAUUUGAAUUUUAUUUUUAAGUAAAAAAGCUUAGAUAAUUUUAAAAGACGAGAAGACCCUAUAGAGUUUAAUAUAAUAAUUAUAUAUUUUUAAUUUGGUAUUAAUUUAAUAUUAUAAAAUAUUUUAUUUAAUUGGGGUGAUUUAAAAAUUUAGAUAACUUUUUUUAAUGAAUUUCAUUUAUUUAUGUAAAUUUGAUCCAUUUAUUAUGAUUAAAAGAGUAAAUUACCUUAGGGAUAACAGCGUAAUUUUAUUGGAGAGUUCUUAUUAAUAAUAAAGAUUGCGACCUCGAUGUUGGAUUAAAAUUUAAUUUUGGUGAAGAAGCUAAAUAUUUAAGUCUGUUCGACUUAUAAAAUUUUACA
rnacentral:rRNA from 1 species